UACAGAGGUCUCAAGCGUUGUUCGGAUUCAUUGGGCGUAAAGGGUGCGUAGGUGGCGCGCUAAGUCAGGUGUGAAAUUUCGGAGCUUAACUCCGAAACUGCAUUCGAUACUGCCGUGCUUGAGGACUGGAGAGGAGACUGGAAUUUACGGUGUAGCGGUGAAAUGCGUAGAUAUCGUAAGGAAGACCAGUGGCGAAGGCGGGUCUCUGGACAGUUCCUGACGGCUGGAGGCACGAAGGCCAGGGGAGCAAACGGG
rnacentral:rRNA from 1 species